AGGUUAGUGCCCGAGUGGUUAAUGGGAGCAGACUGUAAAUUUGCUGGUGAGACCUACGUUGGUUCAAAUCCAACCUAACCUA
rnacentral:tRNA from 1 species